rnacentral:rRNA from 1 species
AGUGAACGCUGGCGGUAGGCCUAACACAUGCAAGUCGAACGGCAGCACAGUAAGAGCUUGCUCUUACGGGUGGCGAGUGGCGGACGGGUGAGGAAUACAUCGGAAUCUACUUUUUCGUGGGGGAUAACGUAGGGAAACUUACGCUAAUACCGCAUACGACCUACGGGUGAAAGCAGGGGAUCUUCGGACCUUGCGCGAUUGAAUGAGCCGAUGUCGGAUUAGCUAGUUGGCGGGGUAAAGGCCCACCAAGGCGACGAUCCGUAGCUGGUCUGAGAGGAUGAUCGCCGGCAUGAGAGCUGAGACACGGUCAAGGCGACUACGGGAGGCCGCAGUGGGGAAUAGUAGACAAUAGGCGCGAGCCUGAUCCAGCCAUACCGCGUCGGUGGAGAAGGCCUUCGGGUUGUAAAGACGUUUUGUUGGGAAAGAAAAGCAGCAGGUUAAUACGCCGCUGUUCUGACGGUACCCAAAGAAUAAGCACCGGCUAACUUCGUG